GAUGAACGCUGGCGGCGUGCCUAAUACAUGCAAGUCGAGCGAACAGACGAGGAGCUUGCUCCUCUGACGUUAGCGGCGGACGGGUGAGUAACACGUGGAUAACCUACCUAUAAGACUGGGAUAACUUCGGGACACCGGAGCUAAUACCGGAUAAUAUAUUGAACCGCAUGGUUCAAUAGUGAAAGACGGUUUUGCUGUCACUUAUAGAUGGAUCCGCGCCGCUUUAGCUAGUUGGUAAGGUAACGGCUUACCAAGGCGACGAUGCGUAGCCGACCUGAGAGGGUGAUCGGCCACACUGGAACUGAGACACGGUCCAGACUCCUACGGGAGGCAGCAGUAGGGAAUCUUCCGCAAAGGGCGAAAGCCUGACGGAGCAACGCCGCGUGAGUGAUGAAGGUCUUCGGAUCGUAAAACUCUGUUAUUAGGGAAGAACAAAUGUGUAAGUAACUAUGCACGUCUUGACGGUACCUAAUCAGAAAGCCACGGCUAACUACGUG
rnacentral:rRNA from 1 species